GCCUAGCCAUAAACACAAAUAAAUUUUUACCCCUAUUAUUCGCCAGGGAACAACGAGCCCCAGCUUAAAACCCAAAGGACUUGGCGGUGCUUUAGACCCCCCUAGAGGAGCCUGUUCUAGAAUCGAUACUCCCCGUUCAACCUCACCCUCUCUUGUUUUCCCCGCCUAUAUACCGCCGUCGUCAGCUUACCCUGUGAAGGAUGAAUAGUAAGCAAAAUUGGCAAAGCCCAAAACGUCAGGUCAAGGUGUAGCGUACGAGGGGGGAAGAAAUGGGCUACAUUUACUGAGCCAGUAAACACGGACUUUGCAUUGAAACAUGCAUCUAAAGGAGGAUUUAGCAGUAAGAGGGGAAUAGAGCGCCCCUCUGAAAACGGCCCUGAAGCGCGCACACACCGCCCGUCACUCUCCCCAAAAACCUAAACACAAAAUAAGUAAUAUGCAACCCACCAUAAAGGGGAGGCAAGUCGUAACAUGGUAAGUGUACCGGAAGGUGCACUUGGAAAAACC
rnacentral:rRNA from 1 species